rnacentral:rRNA from 1 species
GACGAACGCUGGCGGCGUGCUUAACACAUGCAAGUCGAACGGUGAAGCGCCUUCCUUUUUGGUGGGUGUGGAUGAGUGGCGAACGGGUGAGUAACACGUGAGUAACCUGCCCCCUUCUUCUGGAUAACCGCAUGAAAGUGUGGCUAAUACGGGAUAUUCUGGGUCUGUCGCAUGAUGGGUCUGGGAAAGAUAUUGUUUCGGUGGGGGAUGGGCUCGCGGCCUAUCAGCUUGUUGGGGGGGUGAUGGCCUACCAAGGCGGUGGCGGGUAGCCGGCCUGAGAGGGUGGACGGUCACACUGGGACUGAGACACGGCCCAGACUCCUACGGGAGGCAGCAGUGGGGAAUAUUGCACAAUGGGCGCAAGCCUGAUGCAGCGACGCCGCGUGAGGGAUGGAGGCCUUCGGGUUGUGAACCUCUUUCGCCAGUGAAGCAGGCCUGCCUCGUUUGUGGGUGGGUUGACGGUAGCUGGAUAAGAAGCGCCGGCUAACUACGUG